CGUGUAGGCGGGAGGGAAAGUCAGAUGUGAAAUCCCCAGGCUCAACCUGGGAACUGCAUUUGAAACUCCCCUUCUUGAGUACCGGAGAGGAAAGUGGAAUUCCUGGUGUAGAGGUGAAAUUCGUAGAUAUCAGGAGGAACACCAGUGGCGAAGGCGGCUUUCUGGACGGUAACUGACGCUGAGACGCGAAAGCGUGGGGAAGCAAACAG
rnacentral:rRNA from 1 species